rnacentral:rRNA from 1 species
GAUGAACGCUGGCGGCGCGCCUAACACAUGCAAGUCGAACGGCACCCCUCUCCGGAGGGAAGCGAGUGGCGAACGGCUGAGUAACACGUGGAGAACCUGCCCCCUCCCCCGGGAUAGCCGCCCGAAAGGACGGGUAAUACCGGAUACCCCCGGGCGCCGCAUGGCGCCCGGGCUAAAGCCCCGACGGGAGGGGAUGGCUCCGCGGCCCAUCAGGUAGACGGCGGGGUGACGGCCCACCGUGCCGACAACGGGUAGCCGGGUUGAGAGACCGACCGGCCAGAUUGGGACUGAGACACGGCCCAGACUCCUACGGGAGGCAGCAGUGGGGAAUCUUGCGCAAUGGGGGGAACCCUGACGCAGCGACGCCGCGUGCGGGACGGAGGCCUUCGGGUCGUAAACCGCUUUCAGCAGGGAAGAGUCAAGACUGUACCUGCAGAAGAAGCCCCGGCU